rnacentral:rRNA from 1 species
AGAGCGUAGGGAGGAUGCCUUGGCACUAGGCGCCGAAGAAGGACGUGACAAGCUGCGAAAAGCUGCGGGGAGCUGCAAAUGAGCCUUGAUCCGCAGAUAUCCGAAUGAGGAAACUCACUGACGGUAACACGUCAGUAUCCGUACAUGAACACAUAGUGUACAGGAAGGGAACCCGGAGAACUGAAACAUCUCAAUAUCCGGAGGAAGAGAAAGAAACAUCGAUUUCCUGAGUAGUGGUGAGCGAAAGGGAAAGAGCCCAAACCGAAGAAGUAGCAAUACGGAAUCGGGGUAAAGGACCGACAUCACGUGUAUCGAACGUAACCGAAUCGUCAGGAAAGGCGAGCCGAAGACGGUGACAGCCCGGUAGGUGAAACGGGAAGAUAUGCAGUCGGUAUCCGGAGUACCACAGGACACGAGGAAUCCGGUGGGAAGACAGCAGGACCAUCUGCUAAGGCUAAAUACGACCUAGUGACCGAUAGAGUAUAGUACCGAGAGGGAACGGUGAAAAGAACCCCGGGAGGGGAGUGAAAGAGAACCUGAAACCCUAUGCUUACAAGCAGACAGAGCACAACGGUAGUGAUACCAAGUGUGAUGUCGUACCUUUUGUAGAAUGGGCCGGCGAGUUACGAUUUGUAGCGAGGUUAAGGUAUUAAGUACCGGAGCCGAAGCGAAAGUGAGUCUUAAUAGGGCGAAUAAGUUGCAAGUCGUAGACCCGAAACUAGAUGACCUAUCCAUGGGCAGGUUGAAGCUGCGGUAAAACGCAGUGGAGGACCGAACACACGCCUGUUGAAAAAGUCGGUGAUGACCUGUGGAUAGCGGAGAAAUUCCAAACGAAUCUAGAGAUAGCUGGUUCUCCUCGAAAUAGCUUUAGGGCUAGCCUCUAUCGAUGUGUACCGAAGGUAGAGCUCUGUAUAGGCUAGGGGGCUUCACAGCUUACUGAACCUUAACAAACUGCGAAUAUCGGAUACACAAGGUAGGGAGUCAGACAGCGAGAGAUAAGUUCCGUUGUCAAAAGGGAAACAGCCCAGAUCCACAACUAAGGUCCCAAAGUACAGAUUAAGUGGUAAAGGAUGUGUCAUUGCAUAAACAACCAGGAUGUUGGCUCAGAAGCAGCCACACAUUCAAAGAGUGCGUAAUAGCUCACUGGUCGAGUGAUGAUGCGCCGAAGAUUACCGGGGCUAAAAUCUGACACCGAAGUUUGGGGAUGUAUGUAAAUACAUCGGUAGAGGAGCAAUGUAUGAAGGCAGAAGCCGUAUCGAAAGGGGCGGUGGACGACAUACAAGAGAGAAUGCCGGCAUAAGUAGCGAGAGCGGAGUGAGAAACUCCGCCGUCGAAAGUCUAAGGUUUCCUGGGGAAGGUUCGUCCACCCAGGGUAAGUCGGGACCUAAGUCGAGGGCGAAAGCCGUAGAUGAUGGACAACUGGUUGAUAUUCCAGUACUGCCGAAGACGUCUAAAUGAUGCAGUGACACGGAAGGAUAGUCGGGGCGCAUUGAUGGAAAGGUGCGUUCAAAUCAUGAGACCGAUAUGUAGUGAAGUACGCAUAUCAAGGUUAGGUGAUGAUGAGGAGUCCGAAGGACGAAGCCGAUGAAUUCACGCCGGCGAGAAAAGCUGCUAAAUAAGUCAAAAGGCACCCGUACCGCAAACCGACACAGGUAGACGAGGAGAAAAUCCUAAGACGAACGGGAGAACCCUUGUUAAGGAACUCUGCAAAAUGACCCCGUAACUUCGGGAGAAGGGGUGCCUAUGAAAAUAGGUCACAGAAAAGAGGCUCAAGCGACUGUUUACCAAAAACACAGGUCUCUGCGAAAUCGAAAGAUGACGUAUAGGGGCUGACACCUGCCCAGUGCUGGAAGGUUAAGAGGAAGUGUUAGCAGCAAUGCGAAAACUAUAACGGUCCUAAGGUAGCGAAAUUCCUUGUCGGGUAAGUUCCGACCCGCACGAAUGGUGUAACGAUUUGAGCGCUGUCUCAACAGGGGGCCCGGCGAAAUUGUAGUAUACGUGAAGAUGCGUAUUACCCGCGACUGGACGGAAAGACCCCGUAGAGCUUUACUGUAACUUGAUAUUGAAUUUCGGUACUUAAUGUACAGGAUAGGUGGGAGACUGAGAAGUACAGGCGUCAGCCUGUAUGGAGUCACCGUUGGGAUACCACCCUUUAAUUAUUGGGAUUCUAACGAUAGACCGUAAUCCGGCUAUCGGACAGUGUCAGGUGGGCAGUUUGACUGGGGCGGUCGCCUCCCAAAAUGUAACGGAGGCGUUCAAAGGUUCCCUCAGAAUGGUUGGAAAUCAUUCGCAGAGUGUAAAGGUAUAAGGGAGCUUGACUGAGAGACAGACAUGUCGACCAGAUACGAAAGUAGGACUUAGUGAUCCGGCGGUAGAGAAUGGAAUUGCCGUCGCUUAGCGGAUAAAAGUUACCUCGGGGAUAACAGGCUUAUCUCCCCCAAGAGUUCACAUCGACGGGGAGGUUUGGCACCUCGAUGUCGGCUCGUCACAUCCUGGGGCUGUAGUCGGUCCCAAGGGUUCGGCUGUUCGCCGAUUAAAGUGGCACGCGAGCUGGGUUCAGAACGUCGUGAGACAGUUCGGUCCCUAUCCAUCGUGGGCGUAGGAUAUUUGAAAGGCGCUGUCCCUAGUACGAGAGGACCGGGAUGGACAUACCUAUUGUGCACCAGUUGUCACACCAGUGGCACAGCUGGGUAGCGAUGUAUGGAUUGGAUAAACGCUGAAGGCAUCUAAGCGUGAAACCAACCUUAAGAUUAGAUAUCCCAUAUCAUAAGAUAGUAAGACCCCUUGA